rnacentral:rRNA from 1 species
GAUGAACGCUGGCGGCGUGCCUAAUACAUGCAAGUCGAGCGAACGGACGAGAAGCUUGCUUCUCUGAUGUUAGCGGCGGACGGGUGAGUAACACGUGGAUAACCUACCUAUAAGACUGGGAUAACUUCGGGAAACCGUAGCUAAUACCGGAUAAUAUUUUGAACCGCAUGGUUCAAAAGUGAAAGACGGUCUUGCUGUCACUUAUAGAUGGAUCCGCGCUGCAUUAGCUAGUUGGUAAGGUAACGGCUUACCAAGGCAACGAUGCAUAGCCGACCUGAGAGGGUGAUCGGCCACACUGGAACUGAGACACAGUCCAGACUCCUACGGGAGGCAGCAGUAGGGAAUCUUCCGCAAUGGGCGAAAGCCUGACGGAGCAACGCCGCGUGAGUGAUGAAGGUCUUCGGAUCGUAAAACUCUGUUAUUAGGGAAGAACAUAUGUGUAAGUAGCUGUGCACAUCUUGACGGUACCUAAUCAGAAAGCCACGGCUAACUACGUG